rnacentral:rRNA from 1 species
UGACACAGUAGGAUAAGCUAAGCACACUGUUGGUUAUGUGUGCCCAAGCAUUGAGGCAGUCAGAGUAGGUAAAUCCGCUUUGAUAAUGCUGGGAUGGGAUGGGGAGCGAAAUUUAGUAGCGAAGUAGUUGAUUUCACACUGUCAAGAAAAGUCUCUAUCGAGGUUAAAGGUACCCGUACCGCAAACCGACACAGGUGGGUGAGGAGAGUAUCCUAAGGCCCGCG